GACGAACCGUGCGAACGUUAUUCGGAAUCACUGGGCUUAAAGCGCGUGUAGGCGGGUCGGCACGUCGGUCGCUGAAAUCCCCCGGCUCAACCGGGGAACGGGCGCCGAUACGACCGACCUCGAGGGACGUAGGGGGAGCCGGAACUUCCGGUGGAGCGGUGAAAUGCGCAGAUAUCAGGAGGAACACCGGUGGCGAAGGCGGGUCUCUGGGCCGAUACUGACGCUGGAGGAGCGAAAGCGUGGGGAGCGAACAGG
rnacentral:rRNA from 1 species